CCCGGUCCGUCCAGCCGGAUCGUAUGCGUGGCUGGUUUUGGGGGGGGGAGGUUUGAUUCUGCAAGGUGAACGUCUCGCUCUUCCCUGCCCUUCUCCAGGAGCCUCGCCAUCCCCCACUGAUUUGUUUCUCGCUCUUUGGAGGAACUGAUUGGAGCGAGACAAUUGAAGGGAGGAGGUGGGAUCUUAGGCACUCAAGUACCGCAGCUGGUAGACUUCUCCGGGCAGAGCCAUAAAAAAUAGCCCGCAGCACGAUAAGGGACUUAACAUCUCCUUUACUUGGAAAACGACCAUUAAAAAUGAGCUCGACUAUUCGGUCUGAUGGUGAAUAGGGGAGAGGAUCUGUCUGUUCUGCUGUCGACCGCUCAACUUUGGCUCAGCUGUCGGGCAUUUCCAAAGUACUCACCGAACCACGCCUUUCACCUGUCCUGCCGGGAUCCUCUCUGCUGGGCUGCAUUUUGGACUGAAGCCAAAGGCCCCGGCGCUUCUGCGAGAGCAGUCACAACCGUCAAGCAGCGUUGCCGAGGCUUUCCGAUAUUAGCUGGUGAUUGGCACGCAUUCCCUUCCGUAUGA
rnacentral:lncRNA from 1 species